rnacentral:rRNA from 1 species
CAUAGGUUAAUGAGGCGAACCGGGGGAACUGAAACAUCUAAGUACCCCGAGGAAAAGAAAUCAACCGAGAUUCCCCCAGUAGCGGCGAGCGAACGGGGAGCAGCCCAGAGCCUGAAUCAGUGUGUGUGUUAGUGGAAGCGUCUGGAAAGGCGCGCGAUACAGGGUGACAGCCCCGUACACAAAAAUGCACAUGCUGUGAGCUCGAUGAGUAGGGCGGGACACGUGGUAUCCUGUCUGAAUAUGGGGGGACCAUCCUCCAAGGCUAAAUACUCCUGACUGACCGAUAGUGAACCAGUACCGUGAGGGAAAGGCGAAAAGAACCCCGGCGAGGGGAGUGAAAAAGAACCUGAAACCGUGUACGUACAAGCAGUGGGAGCCUCUUUUAUGGGGUGACUGCGUACCUUUUGUAUAAUGGGUCAGCGACUUAUAUUCUGUAGCAAGGUUAACCGAAUAGGGGAGCCGAAGGGAAACCGAGUCUUAACUGGGCGUUAAGUUGCAGGGUAUAGACCCGAAACCCGGUGAUCUAGCCAUGGGCAGGUUGAAGGUUGGGUAACACUAACUGGAGGACCGAACCGACUAAUGUUGAAAAAUUAGCGGAUGACUUGUGGCUGGGGGUGAAAGGCCAAUCAAACCGGGAGAUAGCUGGUUCUCCCCGAAAGCU